rnacentral:rRNA from 1 species
GACGAACGCUGGCGGCAGGCCUAACACAUGCAAGUCGAACGCUGUAGCAAUACAGAGUGGCAGACGGGUGAGUAACGCGUGGGAACAUGCCCUUUGGUUCGGAAUAACUCAGGGAAACUUGAGCUAAUACCGGAUACGCCCUUAGGGGGAAAGAUUUAUUGCCGAAGGAUUGGCCCGCGUCCGAUUAGCUAGUUGGUGAGGUAACGGCUCACCAAGGCGACGAUCGGUAGCUGGUCUGAGAGGAUGAUCAGCCACACUGGGACUGAGACACGGCCCAGACUCCUACGGGAGGCAGCAGUGGGGAAUAUUGGACAAUGGGCGCAAGCCUGAUCCAGCCAUGCCGCGUGAGUGAUGAAGGCCCUAGGGUUGUAAAGCUCUUUCGCCAGGGACGAUAAUGACGGUACCUGGAUAAGAAGCCCCGGCUAACUUCGUGCCAGCCGCCGCCGUAACAC